GGCAUUAUAGCUCAGUGGUUAAGAGCAAUUCAGCAUGUAACGAGGAGGUCACAGGUUCGAAUCCUGUUGAUACCA